rnacentral:rRNA from 1 species
GACGAACGCUGGCGGCGUGCUUAACACAUGCAAGUCGAACGACGUGGCGAACGGGUGAGUAACGCGUAAUCAACCUGCCCUUCAGACGGGGACAACAGUUUGAAACGACUGCUAAUACCGCCUACUGAAGGCUGGGAUUUCGUCUGAUGGGCUAUUUGGAGGGGUAACGGCACACCACGGCGAUGAUCAGUAGCCGGGCUGAGAGGAUGAACGGCCACAUUGGGACUGAGACACUGCCCAGACUCCUACGGGAGGCAGCAGUGGGGAAUCUGCCGCAAUGGACGAAAGUCUGACGGAGCAACGCCGCGUGAGUGAGGACGGCCUUCGGGGUGUAAAGCUCUGUUAAUCGGGACGCGGUACCGGAAUAGAAAGCCACGGCUAACUACGUGCCAGCAGCCGCGGUAAUUC